rnacentral:rRNA from 1 species
AGCUCCAAUAGCGUAUAUUAAAGUUGUUGCGGUUAAAAAGCUCGUAGUUGGAUUUCUGCCGAGGACGACCGGUCCGCCCUCCGGGUGAGCAUCUGGUUCGGCCUUGACAUCUUCUUGGUGAACGUAGCUGCACUUGACUGUGUGGUGCGGUACCCAGGACUUUUACUUUGAGGAAAUUAGAGUGUUUCAAGCAGGCAUACGCCUUGAAUACAUUAGCAUGGAAUAAUAAGAUAGGACCUUGGUUCUAUUUUGUUGGUUUUGAGGACCAGAGUAAUGAUUAAUAGGGAUAGUUGGGGGCAUUCGUAUUUGACUGUCAGAGGUGAAAUUCUUGGAUUUGUUGAAGACGGACUACUGCGAAAGCAUCUGCCAAAGAUGUUCUCA